UACGUAGGGUGCAAGCGUUGUCCGGAAUUAUUGGGCGUAAAGAGCUCGUAGGCGGUCUGUCGCGUCUGGUGUGAAAACUCAAGGCUUAACCUUGGGCCUGCAUCGGGUACGGGCAGACUAGAGUGCGGUAGGGGAGACUGGAAUUCCUGGUGUAGCGGUGAAAUUCGUAGAUACCGGGAGGAACACCAGUGGCGAAGGCGGCGAUCUGGGAAGAUACUGACGCUGAGGUGCGAAAGCGUGGGGAGCAAACAGG
rnacentral:rRNA from 1 species